UACGUAGGUUGCAAGCGUUAUCCGGAAUCAUUGGGCGUAAAGAGUGAGCAGGCGGCCAGAGAAGUCUGGGGUUAAAGGCAGGGGCUCAACCCCUGUCCGCCCCAGAAACCAUCUGGCUUGGAUGCGGGAGAGGCAAGUGGAACUCCAUAUGUAGCGGUGAAAUGCACAGAUAUAUGGAAGAACACCAGUGGCGAAGGCGGCUUGCCAGACCGAUAUCGACGCUCAGUCACGAAAGCGUGGGGAGCAAAUA
rnacentral:rRNA from 1 species